rnacentral:rRNA from 1 species
UACGUAGGGUGCGAGCGUUGCCCGGAUUUAUUGGGCGUAAAGCGCGUGUAGGCGGCCACACAGGUCCGCUGUGAAAACUCGAGGCUCAACCUCGAGCUGUCGGUGGAAACCGUGUGGCUAGAGUCCGGAAGAGGAGACUGGAAUUCCCGGUGUAGCGGUGGAAUGCGCAGAUAUCGGGAGGAACACCCGUGGCGAAGGCGGGUCUCUGGGACGGUACUGACGCUGAGACGCGAAAGCGUGGGGAGCGAACAGG